rnacentral:rRNA from 1 species
GAUGAACGCUGGCGGCGUGCCUAAUACAUGCAAGUCGAGCGGACGGACGAGAAGCUUGCUUCUCUGAUGUUAGGCGAGGGGGGGAGUGUAACACGUGGAUAACCUACCUAUAAGACGGGGAUAACUUGGAGAAACCGGAGCUAAUACCGAAGAAUAUUUUGAGCCGCAGGGGGCAAUAGUGAAAUACGGUCUUACGGUCGCUUAUAGAUUGAUCCGCGCUGCAUUAGCUAGUUGGUAAGGUAACGGCUUACCAAGGCAACGAUGCAUAGCCGAGCUGAGAGGGUGAUCGGCCACACUGGAACUGAGACACGGUCCAGACUCCUACGGGAGGCAGCAGUAGGGAAUCUUCGGCAAUGGGCGAAAGCCUGACGGAGCAACGCCGCGUGAGUGAUGAAGGCCUUCGGAUCGUAAAACUCUGUUAUUCGGGAAGAACAUCUGUGCACGUAACCGUGCAGAUCUUGACGGUACCGGAUCAAAAAGCACCGGCUAACUACGUG